rnacentral:rRNA from 1 species
GAUAAACGCUGGCGGCGUGCAUGAGACAUGCAAGUCGAACGGACGAUCAGGGCUUGCUCUGAUCGUUAGUGGCGGACGGCUGAGUAACGCGUAGGUGACCUGCCCCGAAGUGGGGAAUAACUGCCCGAAAGGGUGGCUAAUACCGCAUGUGGUGGUGCCUUCAUAGGCACCAGUAAAGCCGCAAGGCGCUUCGGGAGGGGCCUGCGUCCGAUUAGCUCGUGGUGGGGAACGCUCACCAAGGCGACGAUCGGUAGGUGGUCUGAGAGGACGAUCACCCAGACUGGGACUGAGACACGGCCCAGACUCCUACGGGAGGCAGCAGUCGGGAAUUUUGCGCAAUGGACGAAAGUCUGACGCAGCAACGCCGCGUGAGGGAUGAC